ACCAGGCGAUUGCGCAUCCUGGCUGGCUGUGCUGAUGCGGCCUCGGCCUCAGGGUACUGACCCACUGGCCCAGGUCCCCCACUGCUCACACCUGGAAUGUUCUACAGCCUGCAGUGCACCCAUUCUUGGGGUCAAGGGCCCCAAGUCAGGGCCGCAAGAGGGGGCAGAAGGGCCCAGACCACCCCAGGAAGAAGUGAGCUGAUUUCCUGGAGAUGCCCCACAGGAAGGUGGACCGGCUAGGAGCUGCUUUCCACUUCCCCAGCCCCUGCCCUCAUGGGGGGUGUGGUCAGGGGUCAGCCGGGCAGCCAAGUGAACAAUCAGUAGCCAGUGCGCUUCCCUUAGGAAGUGGAAUGUCCCUCACAGAUCCAGGUUGUGGAACCCCAAGCACCAUUAUGCUGACAGUCCCAGGUGGGAAAACGUGUGCCUUCCCAGGCACAGAGAACUCCAGACACGACGAGAGUGGGGGAAAGCGAAGUGUCCGUCCACAGGGUCCAGUGACACCCCCGGUGGCAUGUCAGACUCAGCACAUCACCGGACUGUUUAGAAGCACGUGGCAGCUCUGUGUGAACAAAUGCUAACCCGGCCCCACAGCGUGUUCCUGAGUGAAAACCAAAACUGCGGUGGCACGGACACUGGCCGUAUGGAUUCCGGCGCAGCACCCCAAAGGGAUAAUGAGGGACACUGGUGGCCUCUGGGGUGGGGAGGGCAGGAGCCCUGCUGUAAACUGUGUCCUUGAGUGCAGUUCAAAUUGUGCACCAAAAGUAUGUGUUAUCUAUUCAAAAGUAAUCAAUUUUCUUUAUGUUAAAUGUUUCAAAUCUUCCUGGAAAAAGGGAAUUCAAAACACCCAUUACUUUCACUUUCUCCACAAACCACAUUAAAAUCACAAUAAAGGGGUUUUUUCUUAAUAUUCAUUUUUGAGAGCCUGAGAGC
ensembl:lncRNA